UAGCGUCCCUAUAACACAAACACGAGCAUCCAACUCUUUGUUUCCACGUUUUUCUCCGAUUCUCCGAUCUCAGAGAUCAGUUUCGAGAAGAAGGCUCUCACUCGUCAGAGCUAGCAUUCGUCCAGAGAAAAUUCGUGUCGUUCACGUUACCUCACUCACUUAAAUUUGCUUAUGCGAAAUUGAAGCUGUUGCUUGGUUUCAGAGAAAAUUCGUGUCGUCCAGGCUGCUAUCAGUUACAUGGUUGGAGUUCUUUUCAGGAUGAAAGGAGGAUAUUGUGAUUUUACAAAUUACUGCAGCCUUUCAUCU